rnacentral:rRNA from 1 species
UCCGCCUGGGGGGUGCCGUCGCGAGGUUCANCUCAUUUGUGUUGUCGGGGGCCCGCACUAGCGGUGGAGCUUGUGUUUUAAUUCGAUGCGGCGGGAAGAUCCUUACUUGCUCUCGUCUUCUACAGAAGCCAGCGGAGACGCAGGCGUGCCUUCGGGAACAGUAAGACAGGUGCUGCAUGGCUGUCGUCAGCUCGUGUUGUGAAAUGUUGGGUUAAGUCCCGCAACGAGCGCAACCCUUAUCCUUGUUUGCCAGCACUUCGGGUGGGGCCUCCAGGGAGACUGCCGGUGAUCACCAGGAGGGGGGUGGGGACGACGUCAAGUCAUCAUCGCCCUUUUGAGUAGGGCUCCCCUCGUGCUACAAUGGGGCAUACAGAGGGCGCCCCACUUGUGAAAGUGAGCGCUUCCCAAAAAGUGCUUAGUACUCCGGAUUGGAUUCUGCAAGUCGCCUCCAAGAUGUCGGAAUCGCUAGUAAUCGUGGAUCAGAAUCCCGCGGUGAAUACGUUCCCGGGCCUUGUACACCCCGCCCGUCCCCCCAUGGGAGUGGGCUGCAAAAGAAGUCGGUAGUCUAACCUUCGGGAGGACGAUCUCCACUGUGUGGUUCAUGACUGGGGUGAAGUCGUAACAAGGUGGCCG